rnacentral:rRNA from 1 species
CGAUGAAGGCCUUCGGGUUGUAAAGCACUUUUGGCAGGAAAGAAACGUCGCGGGCUAAUACCCCGUGGAACUGACGGUACCUGCAGAAUAAGCACCGGCUAACUACGUGCCAGCAGCCGCGGUAAUACGUAGGGUGCAAGCGUUAAUCGGAAUUACUGGGCGUAAAGCGUGCGCAGGCGGUUCGGAAAGAAAGAUGUGAAAUCCCAGAGCUUAACUUUGGAACUGCAUUUUUAACUACCGAGCUAGAGUGUGUCAGAGGGAGGUGGAAUUCCGCGUGUAGCAGUGAAAUGCGUAGAUAUGCGGAGGAACACCGAUGGCG